rnacentral:rRNA from 1 species
ACGAACGCUGGCGGCGUGCUUAACACAUGCAAGGCGAACGGAAAGGCCCUGCUUUUGUGGGGUGCUCGAGUGGCGAACGGGGGAGUAACACGUGAGUAACCUGCCCUUGACUUUGGGAUAACUUCAGGAAACUGGGGCUAAUACCGGAUAGGAGCUCCUGCUGCAUGGGGGGGGUUGGAAAGUUUCGGCGGUUGGGGAUGGACUCGCGGCUUAUCAGCUUGUUGGUGGGGUAGUGGCUUACCAAGGCUUUGGCGGGUAGCCGGCCUGGGAGGGUGACCGGCCCCAUUGGGACUGAGAUACGGCCCAGACUCCUACGGGAGGCAGCAGUGGGGAAUAUUGCACAAUGGGCGGAAGCCUGAUGCAGCAACGCCGCGUGCGGGAUGACGGCCUUCGGGUUGUAAACCGCUUUCGCCUGUGACGAAGCGUGAGUGACGGUAAUGGGUAAAGAAGCACCGGCUAACUACGUG